AGCAGCCGCGGUAAUUCCAGCUCCAAUAGCGUAUAUUAAAGUUGUUGCAGUUAAAAAGCUCGUAGUUGAAUUUCGGGGUUAGUAGAUUGGUCAUGCCUCUGGUAUGCACUGGUCUCACUGAUUCCUCCUUCCUGAUGAGCCGUAAUGCCAUUAAUUUGGUGUUGCGGGGAAUUUGGACUGUUACUUUGAAAAAAUUAGAGUGUUUAAAGCAAGCUAACGCUUGAAUACAUUAGCAUGGAAUAAUGAAAUAGGACGUUCGAUCCUAUUUUGUUGGUUUCUAGGAUUGACGUAAUGAUUAAUAGGGAUAGUUGGGGGCAUUAGUAUUCAAUUGUCAGAGGUGAAAUUUUUGGAUUUAUUGAAGACUAACUACUGCGAAAGCAUUUGCCAAGGAUGUUUUCAUUAAUCAAGAACGAAAGUUAGGGGAUCGAAGACGAUCAGAUACCGUCGUAGUCUUAACCAUAAACUAUGCCGACUAGGGAUCGGAUGAUGUUAAUUUUUUAAUGACUCAUUCGGCGCCUUACG
rnacentral:rRNA from 1 species